UGCAUUUAGUAGACUUCAAAUUUAAUGUUAGCAUGUGUGGCUGUUGGUGGCUUUUUAGCAGUUUACUCCAUUGGUUGGCUGAAAUUUGGACUCAUUGGUGGCCUUCAGUUAACAAGGUUGAGAUGGCUGAAGUGGCAUGACAGGAAAGAAGGAAACCAAAGGCUCCUUUUCCUUAGGGAGAUGGAAAUGUUGAGUGGCCUUAUCAUGCACGACCUGUGUACCCACCCCAUCCCCAGCUAUCUUUUACCAGUAGACACUGGCUUCACUAAGUCUCUGAGAAAGGCAUUAAUGACAGGAUCACCUGAAUCCUUGAAAAGCUCUGUGGUUGCUCUGUGAGAUCUGUGUUCAUCUCCAUGACUAGCCUAGGGCUUUGUUAGUUGAGAACAUAAAAAUCGCUGUCUUAAGUUACUGAGGUGCAGGCCAUUCAUUGGGUGCUGCCUUUACACCAGGCAGGAAGCCCGCCUGACCCCACAUCUCAGGCUGCCAGAGGAGCGUGCGAUGAGGAAGGCUGGACUGUCUUCACAGGACACCAGGGAGAAGCCUCAAGCCACUGCCCCCUGACAAGUCUCAGCUCUUCAGCCUGUCUCCUCGCUCCCCUCCCCUCCACAUGGGAGGGUUGGGGUGGGGGCGGGGAAGGUUUGGGGCAGGGGUCAUUUCAGCUCCUGGGCACCAGUCUCCUCCUCAUGUUUAUCCUGUUCCCUUUGCUUGAAAGGUUCGUACUCCAGAUCCUUGUAAAACGGCUUCUCACCCUUUGAGUCUCAGCUUAAAUGUCCCCUCCUUGGAGGGGUCUUCCCUGACAAUGAAGCUCCGACCGUCCUCUCCUGUUUUACCUAGUUCAUUUCUUUCUGGCAUUUGUAACUACUUGAAGUUAAAGUGUGUGCCAUGUAUGUGUCUGUCAGUUUCCCCCACCACACUGGAACCCCAUGAGGGCAAGGGUCUUGUCUGGAAUCUUCCUCACUUACAACUCAACAUUUAGCAAAGGACCUUUGCUAAAUUAACAGGCAUUCAUUUUGUAUUUGAAAAAUGAACGAGUGAGGCCGGGCGUGGUGGCUCACACCUGCAAUCCCGGCACUUUGGGAGACCGAGGCGGGCUUGAGGUCAGGAGUUCGAGACCGGCCUGGCCAACAUGGUGAAACCCCAUUAAAAAUACAAAAAUUGGCUGGGCGCGGUGGCUCACGCCUGUAAUCCCAACACUUUGGGAGGCUGAGGCGGGCGGAUCACGAGGUUAGGAGUUCAAGACCAGCCUGACCAACAUAGUGAAACCCCAUCUCUACUAAAAAUACAAAAAUUAGCCGGGCAUGGUGGCAGGCGUCUGUAAUCCCAGCUACUCGGGAGGCUGAGGCGGAAGAAUCGCUUGAACCGGGAGGUGAAGAUUGCCGUGAGCCGAGAUCACGCCACUACACUCCAGCCUGGGCAACAGAGCACGAAUCCAUCUCCGAAAAACAAACAAACAAAAAAACGAAUGUGUGAGGAACGCAGCAAAGCCUCUACAGUUAACGUUUGCCGCCCUCUGCCCCUCAGGCACUCCAGAGCCGCGAGCCGCCUCGCACAGCCGGCGCGUUUCUUCUGCUCCCCCGGAAGAGGGCACGGUCUCCUUCCUGGCCGCUGUCUGCCGGCCGUACCGCACGACAGCUGGCAGCACCGUCAGCCACUGCUCGGGAGCUCGGAAGAUGCUCUAGCUCCGCGGCAAGUGUAGCGAGCCCGCCCAACCCUGGUGCAGGAGCCAUUGCAGCAAAUUGACAGGGAGUCCUCUGGGUUUCACCAUGUUGGCCAGGCUGGUCUUAAACUCCUGGCCUCAAGUGAUCCACCCACCUAGGCUUCCCAAAGUGCUGAGAUUACAGGUGGGAGUCGCUGCGCCUGGCCUUGUCCUCCUCUUUUUAGAUAGCCCUGCAUGGGGCCUAGUAGUGUACACCAGUAGUCCCAGCUACUUGGGAAGCUGAAUUGAGUGGAUCACUUGAGCCCAAGAGUGUCCGACCACCCUGGGGAACAUAGCAAGACCCCUUCUUCUAUUUUAAAGAUGACAAUUCCAAAAAAAAAAAAUAAUCCUGGGAUAACAAUGCCCUCUUACAUCGUGGCAAAAACUCAAGCUAAAGUGCUGAGCCCUUUCCUGAAAUAGAAAAACCCUCCUACUGGCACUAGAAAAUAUCCUUUCCUGAAACCAUGCGCAAGGGCCGUCCUGGGCGCAAACCGCCCAGGAGGGGGUCUGGUGGCCCUGCCCCACUCCCACAGACAACAGCCAGAAGGCCGGCGUCUGCGCCCCACUCCCGCAGACAAAGGCGCGCGCCCGUCCCUCACCUGUGCACGCGCCUCUCCACUCCUUCUCAUCUCCUGCCUGCCGGCUGGAGCCUGAGGCCUCACCCUUGCCGUGCGCUUGAGGGGCCCAGAAAGGCCUGCUGAAGGGAAAGCCUGCCCAGAAAGAGAUGCUGUGCUGUCACAGGCCUUCUGGCGCUGCCCGGCUGCAGACAGCAUCUCCCCAAAACUGAUGGGCCCAAGUAGGGGGUGAGGCUCUGGAAACGGGGUAAAAUAAAGCAGUUUCAAGAAGUCCCCCUGGGUCG
rnacentral:lncRNA from 1 species